rnacentral:lncRNA from 1 species
GUGGGGUCAAAGGUUCCCUGAGGCCCCAGGGCCCCAACCUGUGGGCACCGAGCAGCAGUGGAGGAGACAGGAGGGGUCUGGGGAAUACAGGUGCUGGGCUGUGGCAGCCUGUGACGGAGAGGGGCAAAGAAGGCCGGGUGUGGGGCGGCGGCAGCCCUGAGUGCUCUCCUCCCAGAGCUGAUGUUCUGCCUUCGGGAAGGAAGGGCCAGGACAAGGAGUUGGUUCACAGUGGACCCUUUCUCCCUGGGAUUCCAUCAGUCCCCUGCUCCUGACGUCCCCUCCCCAACCCUGCCAUCUCUUGCCUCCCGCUCACCCCACCCCAUUCCCGCCCAAGUCAUCAGCAUUUUACAGAUGAAGGAACUGGGGAUCCGGAAAGGGUGAGCAUCUCCAGAUCACACCCCCAAACUUGGGUCCUGGUCCCUCUGGCCUCCAGGAGGCUGCUGUGUCCAGGGACCCAGGGUGUGGCUUAGCCGGGUCUGAGCAGCUGAGCAGAGGAGGUUCCCAGUGCUGGGAUCACACAAGUGCACCCUGUGCCCUCUGACCUCUGCCCCUCAGACCCCACCCAGUGCAGGAGACCUGGGGUCUCUAGGGGACAGGAAAUGAAUCUGAAAUGCUGCCUCUCCUGUGGAAGGGCCAGCUCAGAAGCCAGGUCACACACAGUGUCUAACCCCACUUCAGACCUUCGCCAAAGUUGCUCCUCAAACCGCACCUCCUCCAGGUCCUCACUGUCGGAUGUGGACAUUUACUACAUUAACACCAGCUCUGAGUCACUUCCUUUCAGUUGGUGGUUAUUUGGACUCCACCACCCUUCCGACCUGCUCCGGACACCAGCAGCCCUCAAACCAGCUCAGACACCUCCAAGUCCCCUCCAGCUCACCUCCCCGACCAGACCCACUUUUCUUUAUGACUGUCCCCGGUUUAGGCCAGUUUACUAUGACGUGUGCCUCCAGCAUCACCCCUGGGCCACAACCUCAGGCUUUCCACCUCCGCCUUGGCCUGAGCCACGUGGGGUCCCAGCUCAUUGGGAUCCACGCCUCACCUGAGCUCCAGCUCUUGGAGCUGAGAGGGAUGGUCACCAGGAGGGGGUGAGCCUGGAACCCUGGCGUUCUCCUCCCUCCCCGACCCCCAGCAUCCAACUCAGAGAUCCUCUUGGAGGCAGCCACCACCCUCCAUGUCCAUGGACACCCUCCAGUCUUCCAGACAUACCUGUUCCCAACUGUCUCCUGCUCUGCUUUGCUUUUGCUGUCCAUCCACCCCUGCACUUAGAGCAGCCAGAGCAAAUCCUGUCUCUCCCCCAGUCCUGCGGGGCUUCCGUGGCUCUGAGCACGCAGCCCACCAUCCUGGCCCCCUCUCCAGUGUCUCCCCUGCUGCCCUCACCCCACACCACCUCACCCAGACACAGAGGAUGCAUCCCAUGCCUCUGGCCUCUCUCCACCCUCGUCUUUCCCUCACAUCUGCUCAUCAAAGGCCCUAAUCAGACAGGAGCCUGCGGGUGAGAAGCACCUGCUGCCGUGGCUGGAGUUUGGAGCCAUAACAUCAGGGCCAAAGCCAAGUUUUGCCACAAACUUGCUGUGAGGUCUCAGGCCAGAAAUGGUCUACACAGAAAUACCUGUGUGUGGACACUCUGCUUCUGCUUUCCUUUCUAUCAGAAUGGCACCCACAUCAGUGGUUGGCUUUGAGUUUUAGAGGAGGCAACAACUGCGAAAAGUAUUGACGGGGAAGGGCAGGCUGCGCUCAGUGUCAGCUCUCUGGAGUUCACCAACACUUUCUCAGAGCCGUGGAGACCCCUGCCCGCCUCACAGCUCUGUUCUGAGGGCCAAGUUAGACGCUUGCCCUGUGGAGACCCAACCAGCUGGAGAAUGUGACAACUUGUGUGGCAUGCUGCUGUGACCGUGAUCCCAGGCUGUACAUCACAAUCAUUUGGGGACACUUCUUCUGCAUUGCAAUAUAUUGAAAACUCACAUACAUCAUGCAGCUCGUGCCACCUCCAUCCAAGGAGGUGACUCACAUUCUGCCCCAGCUCCUCUUCUAUGUACUCCUGGGGUGGGCGCAUGCAGGGAUGUCACCUCUAAGUGCUACUAUGAAAAUGUUGCCUGGAAGGCAAAAGCUUCUAGGAACCCCUGCAUUUCAAAGCAGAAGCCUUCCAGCUCACAGACGUCGGCCUGCCACUCACAUCUCUGCUUGGCCUGUUUUUGUAGCAUGUCCACCUCCCUCUCCAAUCUGGAGGACCUGCCCUUAGCCUGGAGGAGCUUGGCCAAGGACUCUACGCUCAGGGCCAGGGACUCCUCCGGACUUGCUCAUAGUUCCCCUCCUCAUCUCCAGCCAUGUCCACGGAUGCCCUGUCCCCUGGCAAAUUCUUUAAAUCGUGUCUUUCCUGUGACGCCAAGUUGACAAGCAGAUUUUUCAGCUUUUGGUUUUCUUCUUCACACAGUUUUAGGGAAUCCUUUAGCUCAGAGACAUUCUCAGACAGAUUCUUACUAAUUUCCCUGCUGAUGUUAAGAGCUGUUUUUGUCAAUUUCAGCUUUCCCUCAAAGCCUGUCAAACCUUUAUAAAUCGGAUUUCCAUGGACAGCUCUUCCAACUCUGGUUAUUCUCUGGUUUGAAGGCAUGGCAGCCUUUGCUCCCUCUGAACAAGAGAACUCCCAGAAGAAAAAGGCUCCCCAAGGGAUAUGCCACCAGGACAGCUGAAGUUGGUCCCAGGCCAGAGGUCUUCAGGCCAUGAGCCCACCAGCACCUCAGCACAGUGACCCAUCAGGGGGACCGCACUCUGAAUGGCCCCAAGCACUGGCUAGGCCACAAACCAUGGACGUUUCUGAGCCUGGCUCCAACAGAGGCAGCAACCUCUGCCCUCACAGACAGCCGCUGACCUGGUCCCUCCACUGGAAGAUGGAUUUCCGCCUGGACUGGUGGCUUCAGAUUUCUCAUGUCUGGGUCAAGAUGCCCACAUUUUUGUGUUCAGGUUGUUUUGUCGAGUUUUCUGGGCUUCCUUCUGUUUUACAGAUUGAUUGAAUCGUGGUGGGGUUUGGGGGCAGCUGGGACUGGUUCUUCUCUUUCUGGUGGUUGGGGCACCACCUGGGGGCCAGGGACAUGGCCAGGGCCAAGGUAGCCAGGAGGCAAUGCGAAGUUUCCGAGGCUGCUUUUCUCACUCUCUGCAACUUCUGACCUCAGAUUGUCUGAGUGCAGCAUGGUUGAGGGGGUGGCACAUGACUGGUAUUCGGUAUUUUUUUUCUACCAGGUAGCAGCCUCUUCCAGCCAGCUCACCUGGGCCUGGCAGGGGUGCUGACCAUCCCAGGCAGAGGAGGGCUCAUCGCAGAACGAAAAGGGAAAACUUGGGGCCAGACACCUGGUGUGCAACUGGGUUGGGGGGUCAUUGGUAGCUCUUUGUUGCGCUGGGGGUGGGAGGCUCCUAGUUGGCUAGGUGUCCAGGGUGCUCACUGACCCUGUGCUGAGCUGGCUCAGAGGGCUCCUGAUUGGCCGGGUGUCUGCUGCUGUGUGCUGACGUGGUCGGAGGGCUCUCAGAUAUCCUAUCCUGAAUCUAGUUUCGAUGCCGGAGAUCUGAAGGUCCCUGGGCCACCAGCACCUCAGGUGAGUGGUCUGUUGUACUCUGACUCCAAAUGGGAAUGUAGGUGAGGAGCGCCUCCGGGUUUGGGUCCCUGAGGCGCCAGAUGCAGGUGCGGGCCUCGCGGGACCGCAGAGGGGCAGGAUGGUGUGGCGAACAGGAAGGUGAAGCCCAUAGUGUGGGUGAGAGGCCUGGGGCGGGACGAUGGGUGGAGGGCGCGCUGUCCUUCGGGUUGAAGAAUGUGGUGGAGAUAGCGAAGUGAAGGAGUAGAGGCGGAGGUGCCCUGUCUCUCAGCAAGGCCUCAGAUAGGUGCCACGGCUUUUAUAACCACCCUGACUCGUCACAAUGCCUCCCUGUGACGUCACAGCUGCGCUCCUGGCCAAUCGCCAAGUGAUUCUCAGCUGGUCUUGCUUGUGCGGCCAAUCACCACGGAGCUUGGCGGGCCAAUCGCCAGGCGGCUCUCACUGUGGCCCUCUUGACGUCACGACCCUGACACCAUCUCCCAUCCCCUAGGGGUGGGGGGUGUUCACACCGACCCUUGCCCAUUGCAGCACCCAGUUCUCGCUCCUCCUUCGCACAGCCUUCCUUUCACAGGUGGAGCAAAUGGGGGUGGGGGCAGUGACCGGCCCACUCAGGGCAGCCACCUGGUGCUCCCAGGACCACGGGAUCUGAGAGCUGGCGUAAGGGGGGCUGUUCCUCACGUGAUGUGAGUCCUCCCUGGGGACCCGCCCAUCGCCAAAGCUCCGCCCAGGCGUUUCCAUGGUGACCCUAACCACACCCCGGAUUCUGAGGUUCCCUUUGCUGCCUAAGCUUCUCCCAUCUGAUAUCAGUUCUGAGGAGGGGACCUCUGGGAAACGGAAAUCAGUGCGGGGUGGGUGGGCUGCUGUCCGAGGGCCUCGGUGAGAGCCUCUGGAAGAGGAUCCCAGAGGAGCUGCCAUGGCCUGCCCCUGCUGACAGGGUGAAUAAACGCUGGAGCCUCCUGACUCUGGACUCGGAAGAACACCUGUCGUUUUCAUGGUAGACAUUUACCACCUACAGACCUCAAGGAGCGGGACAAGCACAGUGGUGUCCACCAAGGGGACAGACAAGGACAGGCCUGGAGAGAGGGUGACGCACUGAAGGCUCCAGGGGGUGACCUGGAGAGGUGGCACAAGCUGAUGGCCUGCAGCUGGGUCUGGUCUGGCCCAUGCAGUGUUUUAAAGAAAUUCAAAAUAGUUGCUAAAAUUGAAAAUCAGGAUAUUUCACAUUAAAAAAUCAGCACUGUGGGCUUCUGUUGAAAAAUGGGGAGAUUCUGUUGAAAAAUGUGGAGGGGCUGCACUGAGCCUGUAUUCCCACUUGGCCACCUUUGGGCAGAUGCCGCUUCAUAGGGAGCCUGCACUAUCCAGUCCAGCCCAGGGCCCACUCCACGCUCGUCCCUGUCAUCUGCAUCUGUGGGCACAUUCUCUGAGUACUCAGCCCUCUGUGUCCAGCUACGUAGGGGCUUAAGUCGUUCUCAACAAACCUAUGGGCAAUUAAAUUUCCCAAAUGUGACAUUGCAAUCUGACCCAAUCUUAAUUGCAUCACCAAUGGGCUGCCAAAAGAUUAGAGCUUUUGUACAUACUGGUGGAUUGUAUUUUCCAGAUGAGGUCUUGAAAGCAGACCCUCCAUGCUGGGAUCACUUGUUCCGUGUCAGGCACUGUUCUAAGUAUUUUAAUUGCUGCAACCACCUCAUGCAUGAGGUAGCUACUAAUAGCUCCAUGUCAUACAUGGGGAAACUGAGGCACAGAAAGGUGAAGCAACUUGCUCUGUGUCACACAGCCAGGAAAUGGCAGGACUGGGAUGGGAACCCAGGCAGUUAGACUCCAGAGGGCAUACUCCCAACCACCCUGCUACACCACCUGGCCGCAUAAGACUUCUCUGAGUCUGUCUUCUCAUUUGUGAGAGGCGUGCCGGUCAUCCCUGCCUCACAGGGGGCGAAUGAAAUCGGGUGUGUGAAGCACUUGGUAAACUGCGCGGUGCUUUAUAAACAUCAGUUGUUACUAGUAAUUACUAUAACCUGCAGGUCAGGAUUCAAACCAGAAGCCUGUGGCUGAGGCUAGCCUGCCUGUCAGUCUCCCUCCAGCUGUGGCUCUGUGGCUGCUGGACAGGAAGGGGGUGUCACUAGCACCGAUUCUUGAAAUUCCAAAAUGGUGUGAAGAAAGAAUCAAUUAGAAAGAAUCAAUUAGAGGCUCCAGGGUGGCAGCUGAGGUGUGGGGCCGGUUUUCAAAGUCACAAAGUCUAGUUUAUUUCACCAUCCUUUCCUCCCACCGCUGAGUGAAGCCCCCCUACAAUCACGGCUCCCUGUUGGGAGGUCCAGGCUUGCCCACAGCCAGGGAGAACAGGAGGGUUCACACACCCUCUCCCUGAGCAGUUCCCAGGGCAUCCAUGUACAGGAGUGCAGUCUGUGGACUGCACACAGAUGCUGACGAAGGGAACAAAUGGGCGCUGAAAUCCAGCUCAUGCUCUGUUCACAGCUGUGUGUCCUGUUCUGGGCUGUCUCCAUAGGAAGAAGCAGAGUCUUUGUGCAAAGGCGCCAUCUGGGUGCCUCUGGUGUGUCUACUCAAUUGGUCUCCCCAGAGGGGGCACCAUUUUCAGUUCAUAAGAAGGCCCAUGUGGGCUAGUGGGGGCCCUGGUUAUGUACCCGAAAGAGACAGAUGACAGACUCCUGUGCUGCGCAGCAACUCAACCCCUACCUCUAGCUGCCAGUUCCCCUCAGUCGGGCCCAUGGAUCCCCUCCGUGGUAGCUCACAGUUCUCAUCUAAUCCAUGUUCUCCCAUGGCUGUGGGCCUUUCAUUCCCCUUCCCCCUCCUCCAUCUGAUCCAAGACAAGGUUAUCUGGGGCCAGCUCCCAUGAGCCAAGGCCAAGACCCCAUUUGCUUGCCCUUUGGCCUCUGUUCCUGGUCCCAGUUCUGGUAACCUCCUAGGACCCCUGCUUCCCCGCCUGUACCUUCCAGUUCCCUGGCCCCAAGGCUGGAGAAUUCUCCUAAAUUCCGAGCUCAGCUGCAGAUUCCCACCUAUGGAUAACCUGCUUCACCAGACUUCCAAGUGCUGCUCUGCUGAUGUUGCCAGCACUCCACCCACCUGCCAGGCUAACCCCUGCUCUGUCCCCCACUAUUCACUGUCUGUUUCCACCAGCACUGGAGACCGUCCCGUGACAUGACACCCAGCCUCACCGGGCUGGCUGAGCCUCACCUGUUGGCUCACGUCCCUCAGAAGCCAUCCCACCCCAAUGGUGAAGCUGGGCUGGUUCAGACCGUCCCUGCUGGACUGUCUUGUGAGGAGACAAAUCUACAGCGAUGACCCCGUGGAGCAAUGGUUCUUGACCUGCGUCUGCCCCAGGACCCUGAGGAAUCCACACAUGGCGCCAGAUCACAGGGUGCGCUCAACAGUUUCUGAAUCUUGGCUGUCAAAACUGCAGCCAUUCUUACCCAGAAGACCAUUCAGAAUUUCUGCAGGUGGAUAUGGUGGUGGCUGGAGGGAAUUUAAAAAUGCCCCCUCCUCCUACUGAGAAUCACAUCUACCCCCGCCCUGCUUAGAGGCUUGUCCUCUUGCAAUCACUGCACUAGAGUUUCUUUGUUGACUUUGACUCAGAUGUGACAAGCUCUAGGUCUGAGGAGAGGGGUGGGUUCCUCUAUUUGUAACUUGCUGCUUUCUGUAUCAUCUCUAAGGAUACAUGGCUUUAUUCCUAUCAGCUUGGCUCCCUGCCUUUGAUCCACAGAUGGUUUUGGGGGACCAAGGUGGUUGGAUCCCAAACUUGCCACAAGUUUGGAAGCCCCAAGAUUGAGCUGCCCUGGGUUGGAGACGGCAUCCCUUAUCCCCUCCUCUCAGACCCAAGCUGGCUGGGGAUCUCAAGGCCAGAGGUCCUCCCAAGGGGGCCCCAUUCCACCCUGACACAGGCUCAGGGAAGCCCCAUCUGAGAUGCCAUGAGCACACUCUCCAACCUAGGAGUGCCCAGUGCCAAUCACUGGAACAGAAAGUCAAACUUGGGAGCGUGAGGGGUGUCAGCUCUAACAUCUCCCAGGCCCUCCCCUUACCCACAGGGGCAGACAGGAACCAGACUCAUUAUUACUGUUAAUACUCUGGUCCGGGAAGUGACAGGGCACAUCAGAAGGCCAACCCAGAGGGAAUGCCAGAAAUCCUACUGCCUGGCACCUCUCUUCUCUGAGCCUUUGGAGGGGCCACUCUGGGGCUUCGCAGGCAGCUGGGCUCCUUCUGGUGUCCUCAGCGGUCCAGGAUUGUGCAAGUCUCUGGGCCACCCCCCACCCCGGCCCCC